rnacentral:misc_RNA from 1 species
GUGAAUCAUCAAAUCUUUGAACGCAAAUUGCACUCUCUGGGAUUCCGGUGAGUAUGCGUGUGUGAGGGUCAGUUAAAUAGAAAUCGUUGUGGUUUCUGGUUGUCGUUGUGACGCACCGGAGUUGUGUCGUCUUUCUUUCGUUUAAGUGGCUUAAAAUUUUGUAUGAGUUUUUCGAACGGAUUUAAAUGAUUUUACGUACGUUUUCGAUAUCGAUUUUUAUUUGUGGUCAUCCUUAUUAUUCGCGCCUAUAAUUUCUCUUCAA